rnacentral:rRNA from 1 species
GAUGAACGCUGACAGAAUGCUUAACACAUGCAAGUCUACUUGAACUUCGGUUUGGGUGGCGGACGGGUGAGUAACGCGUACAGAACUUGCCUCACAGCUAGGGACAACAUUUGGAAACGAAUGCUAAUACCUGAUAUUAUGAUUAUAUGGCAUCGUAUAAUUAUGAAAGCUAUAUGCGCUGUGAGAGAGCUUUGCGUCCCAUUAGCUAGUUGGAGAGGUAACAGCUCACCAAGGCGAUGAUGGGUAGCCGGCCUGAGAGGGUGAUCGGCCACAAGGGGACUGAGACACGGCCCGUACUCCUACGGGAGGCAGCAGUGGGGAAUAUGGGACAAUGGACCGAGAGUCUGAUCCAGCAAUUCUGUGUGCACGAUGAAGUUUUUCGGAAUGUAAAGUGCUUUCAGUUGGGAAGAAAAAAAUGACGGUACCAACAGAAGAAGUGACGGCUAAAUACGUG